GAUGAAGAACGCAGCGAAAUGCGAUAAGUAAUGCGAAUUGCAGAAUUCCAGUGAGUCAUCGAAUCUUUGAACGCACAUUGCGCCCCCUGGCAUUCCGGGGGGCAUGCCUGUUCGAGCGUCAUUACAACCCUCAAGCUCUGCUUGGUAUUGGGCUCUGCUGGGACCGGCAGGCCUUAAAAUCAGUGGCGGCGCCACUCGGCUUCAAGCGUAGUAAUUCUUCUCGCUUCGGAGACCCGGGUGCGUGCUAGCCAGCAACCCCCAACUUUCUUAGGUUGACCUCGGAUCAGGUAGGGAUACCCGCUGAACUUAAGCAUAUCAAUAAGCGGAGGA
rnacentral:misc_RNA from 1 species